GGGUCAGUAGGUUGGUCGUGCCACUGGUAUGUACUGGUCUCACUGAUUCCUCCUUCCUGAUGAACCGUAAUGCCAUUAAUUUGGUGUUGCGGGGAAACUGGACUGUUACUUUGAAAAAAUUAGAGUGUUUAAAGCAGGCAAACGCUUGAAUACAUUAGCAUGGAAUAAUGAAAUAGGACGUUCGAUCCUAUUUCGUUGGUUUCUAGGAUCAACGUA
rnacentral:rRNA from 1 species